AUCCACCUCCACGGAUGCAUUAUUUACUUCCUUCUAUUCCCCCCAAUCCCCACCUUGUUCUGUCACGGUCACCUGUUCCUAUGCCAACCUUGAAGAGCUCCGUCGGAAGCAAGAGCAGCAACCUCCACCUCGGCGGCGGCGCCGGCGAUGGUUUCUUCUACUGCGCGCAAGACGAGCGCUCCAGAGCCCUCCGCUCCUCCUGGAUCAGCCGCCUCCGCCUCCCGUCCCUCCCCCCCCUCCCCGCCAGUCGUCCUCCUCCUACUCCGCCGCCGGCUGCGCCCUCCCCCCGCCCGGUGGCCGCCGACUCCCCCUGCACUAGUGAUGGAAUCCUCGGCCUCAAGCACACCGUCUCCACCGACGAGUCCUACACCCCGACCUCCAUCUUUAAUCUCAAUUCCGCCUUCAUCGUCCGCCACCACCUCAAUUACAUCCCCAAGAAGCCAGCCUCCCGGCCGCCGCCGACCCUGCCUCGGGCCCACGUCGUCACCGGCUUCGGCCACUUCCAGGUCAGGACCGGAAGUGCCCUCUCCGGACGAGCUGAUGGGAAUCCCGGCGGUGAUGGUGGGGUGACGGAGGCUCUUGGAAGGCGGGAUAAUGGAAAAGAUGGAAACUUUGCUUGGUUCCGGACGAUGGCUCAUCUCGGAGAAGACCGAAGAGGAAAAGAGAUAUAUGGGGAGGAGGGAGAGAUUGGAUUUUGCAAAGGAAGGCAGCAGAAAUCUUUAAAUUGGGAGGAGAUUAGGGAUCGGAAUGCAUGGUCCCUUCCGCAGCAAAAGGUGGCUGAUGGCCAGAAUGCUGUCCGCCUAUCGCCAAUCUUUCAGUUUCAACCUCCUCUACGUUCUGGCUACUUGGGUGAUAGCAGGGUUGUUGGCCAUGGAGAGAUGGCAAGAGACACGGGCCUAUUUGUUCCUCCUGUGGGCGAGGUAAACUCCCACUUUGUGGACACUGACCCUGCUUCUUCUUCACAAAAACUAAGUCAGAUGAGGCUUGCAAGUGAUGAAAAUGCUCCUUCUUCACAAAAACUAAGUCAGAUGAGGCUUGCAAGUAACAAAAAUAUGUGCUCUCCAUUAGCGAUAUCAUACCUCCCUCCACGGGAUCUGAUCAAUGAGUCUGCAUCUCAGAGGGCUUGUGAUCAGCGCUUGUCUGUCGAUCCAUGGCAUGCUAGUUCUUCUGUUCAACAUGUAGCAAGAAGCAGAGGCAUUGCUUAUCAUGAUGGCACUGACGACACUGCUCCAAGUAGAACAUUUUCUGAAUCUCAUAUCUUGCAUCACAAUGUGGCACCACGCCACCUUGAAAGACAUGCUUCUGCUUACAUGGAUGAGCCAGAGGAACCUUUUUCAUUUUGGAACAUGGGAAGAUUAAAAGGAAAGAACACUGUUUCCUCUGUCUCUCAAACAAUUGCUUUGACUAGCAAUCUUAGCAGGAAACAAAAUCCAAAUAUUGAUGACUUUCAUCCUUCAAAGUCUAGGAAGCUGAGCAGUGAAGAUUAGAGGCUGGGUGUCAUGUCAAAUGAUCUGCUGAAUUUCAGAAACCAUAGGUGGGAAGAUGAAAUUACAGUGGUCAAACAUACCGAAGCAGAUAAUCAGUAGGACUAAAGAGCUGUAUCUUAAAGUCAUUAAGUUAAGAACAUGGAAGAUGAUGGUCAAGCCAUUAGGUUUAGAUGAAAUCUUCACUUCAAGCACCCUUUUCCACCUGUGAGUUAUUGGCAACCUGUCAUUCAAUAUUUGUAAGCAGCAGUAGCUGUUGUUUUCAAGCGUUCACCAAAAAUUUAACAAAAGGGUAUCCUACAUGGAAGUGUAUCUGAUCUCAUUUAUGCAGUGAUGUGUGCUACAUUUAUGUUGGUGACACUCCAUUCAGCAUAUUUCCAUUACCUAGAUCAGUGGCUAGCCUUGUAAUUUGAUGUCAGAUCAAUUAGACCUUCAGAAGAAAGUGUUGUUUGUAAGAUCCCUGUUUUGCUUGGUUGCAAAAACAAAUGUAUUUGCUUUGAUUUAAGAAUAAAUGGGAACAUAUAAUUUCUUUCUAGUU